AUACCGGAUAAUAUUUUGAACCGCAUGGUUCAAAAGUGAAAGACGGUCUUGCUGUCACUUAUAGAUGGAUCCGCGCUGCAUUAGCUAGUUGGUAAGGUAACGGCUUACCAAGGCAACGAUGCAUAGCCGACCUGAGAGGGUGAUCGGCCACACUGGAACUGAGACACGGUCCAGACUCCUACGGGAGGCAGCAGUAGGGAAUCUUCCGCAAUGGGCGAAAGCCUGACGGAGCAACGCCGCGUGAGUGAUGAAGGUCUUCGGAUCGUAAAACUCUGUUAUUAGGGAAGAACAUAUGUGUAAGUAACUGUGCACAUCUUGACGGUACCUAAUCAGAAAGCCACGGCUAACUACGUGCCAGCAGCCGCGGUAAUACGUAGGUGGCAAGCGUUAUCCGGAAUUAUUGGGCGUAAAGCGCGCGUAGGCGGUUUUUUAAGUCUGAUGUGAAAGCCCACGGCUCAACCGUGGAGGGUCAUUGGAAACUGGAAAACUUGAGUGCAGAAGAGGAAAGUGGAAUUCCAUGUGUAGCGGUGAAAUGCGCAGAGAUAUGGAGGAACACCAGUGGCGAAGGCGACUUUCUGGUCUGUAACUGACGCUGAUGUGCGAAAGCGUGGGGAUCAAACAGGAUUAGAUACCCUGGUAGUCCACGCCGUAAACGA
rnacentral:rRNA from 1 species